AGGCCCCAACCACUGCAAGGAUGGCAGCCUUUCCCAUGGGGCCAGAAGGGAGCUCCUGGGAAGACUCUGCAUCUCACAGGAGUGGGGGCCCUGCCUUCUUUCCCACAGCCCAGGGCCCUGAGCAAAUGCGAACACCAGCCACCAUUCGGCGGCACCACUUCCCUCGUCCCAGACACUGGGCUGAGACCUGACCCUGCACUGCUUCAUCUGACCCUCCCAACACCUCCUUGAGAGAGGACUCUGAUCAGCAUUUUAUGGAAGAGGAGCUGUGGCUCAGAGAGGCUGAAGAAUAUUGUCCAAAAGGAGAGAGAGAAACUACCUUUCACUCUGGCAUUCCAGCUUCCUCUAGCUUGGCAAAAAUUAAAUGCACCUGGCACUCCUCUCCCAAGUGUCCAGCGGCCUCCCGGAUCCACAGAGCUAGACUCACGGUGAAUCUCUCCAGCCCCGUGGCUCCUGCAUUGCCCACGAAGAUCCCUGCACUGGGCUCGAAAGCCAAGGCCCGGGAGGACCGCUGGAAGGAGAUGUGGCUGUGCUCUUCACAGUCCAUGAGGAGGGUCACCUCCUCGCCCUGGACGAUCACCGCAAAGCGGUUCCACCGGUGGGUCAUCACAGGCACCAGGAAGGCAGCAGCCUCAUGGGACACAUGGGAGCCUGGCUCCGUGUAGUAGAGGAUGACCCGCUGGCCACCAUCCUCCACGCCCGAGAGCCGCAGGCCCAGGUAGAUGACCUUCUGGAAGGCAUCGGUGAUAGCAAAGAGCACCCCACCGCUGGCACUGCUGGGCUUCACUGUGACGCUGAUGGCGAAGUCCCUGAAGAAGGUGGGUGGGAUGAGGGUCCUGGCUGGGCGGCCGACGUUGGCACCAGGCCCGAAGCUGUAGGCUGGGAAGCCACCAUAGCCCGUGACAAAGGACACAGAUGAGGGCAGCGGGACGCCGAUGAGCUCCGUGAGGUCCAGGGGGCCCUGGGAAGCCAACUCUGCAGGGAAGGAGACAGAGGCCAUGCCUCACACAUAUAUUCCACAAUGCUUGAAAAUGGGGAGGAAAAAAAAGGGAAAUGGGAUCCCUCAGAAACCUCCCUAUAGUUCCUUCCUUACUGGUUUACAAACUUUUUUGACAAUGACCCACAAUUAGAAAUGCAUUUAUAUUGCAACCCAAUAGGCCCGUUUCAAUAAACAUAUCUGUAACCCUGGAACAAUGUUUCAUAAAACAUUAUUUACUUUCAAUACUCACCAGGCACUCCGAAAUUUUCCUUUGGGGAAUUCUUUUCCUCUUUUAUUAAAAGCAUGCUGGAGGGGCGCCUGGGUGGGUCAGUCAGUUGAGCAGACGUCUGACUCUUGGUUUUGGCUCAGCGUCACGACACUGAGCCCCAAGCUGGGCUCCGUGCUCAA